UCAUCGCUCCUCUCCCUCUUCUCUCCGUUUUCUCUCUUCCUCAAUCCUCUUCAAUCGAUUGUCUCUCUGUUUCUGGGUCCAAAAAUUAUUGAGUCCCUUUCCUUGUUGGUUCCCAUCGUCUGUGCGAUUUCUCCUCCUCGCGUCGCCGUCUCGCUGAAGUUCCAUCAACAAUAACUGCCACACUCUUCAUCUCUCGGUUUCUCUCGGUGUCUCUGACAGGCAUGGGAGCUGACUUUCUGAGGUUUUGGCACAUGGGUUUGGGAGAUAACGCGGUAAUGAAGUUAUAGUGUUUUGGUCAACUUUGGUUGAUUAUGAUUUAUGGUUUUUGCUUCUUUAACGUGUUAAGCUUCUGAUCCUUGAGGCUAGUUUUCAGCUUCCUGUGAGUUUUCAUGAGAUGAGUGUUUGAUUUUAGAUGUCGAUUUUAGACGAGUUAUGCGUUUGUUACAUCUGUGUUUCGGAUGGGAAUGGUGAUUGAGAGAUAGGCACUUGAUUUUAGAGGUGAGGUUUGAUAAAUCUGGUGUUGUCAAUUCCUUGAACGACUAGAAAUGGACAGAGUGAUUCAGCCUCCUCUGUUCCCUUGCUGCUUUCGUUGUCCCAGGGUUGUCGAAGUUGAGAAUCUAGGCUUAGCUAAGGAACGUGGGGAAGGAGCAGUCGAUUUGCAAGAGAAAAUCGACUGUGGAAACUGGCCCUAGACUACCUCUAUUAGGGUUUCUAGUGUGCUUCACCGAAGUGUCGCACAAGUCCACGACUCUCAGUCCUCCCUCAGUCUCUCUCCACUGAUCUUCAUCGCUCUCUGUGGCCGUCGUCGUCACUCUCUGUGGUCAUCACAUCAUCUUUGCCGAAGGUCAGAAUGGCUGUGAGAUCUUCUCCUGCUAGAUUGGAAAAAUUAAAAGCUGCUGCUAAGAAUGCGAGCAUAACAUCCAAGAAGAGCUUUUGUUCUGAUAUUCCUACAAAAUGGAACUCAACCUUCUUGAUGUUGGAGACAGCCCAAGAAUAUAAGACAGCUUUUGAGUUAUUGGGUAAUGAAAAUAUUCAAUAUGUCAUAUAUUUUGAUGAGCACAGAGGAUUAGGAAAGCCUAGUGAUGAUGAUUGGGAAAUAGUUGCUAUCUUUGUAAAGUUUUUAAGAUUUUUUUAUGAGGUGAUAUUGAAAACAUAUGGUUCUUUAUACCCUACAUCUAAUGAGUUCACUCAACAUAUAUAUAAGGUGAAAGAAGAAUUGGAUGAGAUGUGUAUGAGUGACCAUACUAGGAUGCGGGAGAUAACAUUGAUGAUGAUAGUUAAAUAUGACAAGUAUUGGAGGAUUUGGGUAAGACCAAUAUUUUGUUAUAUUUGGCUAUUGUUCUUGACCCCCAACUCAAGAUUGAUAUCAUGGUAUAUGGUUUGAGACGUGUGCAUGGGGCCGCAUGGACUGAGCUUGUUGGGGGCAUGGUUAGAGACAUCAACGGUAGAUUAUUUGAUGAGUUUACUAUGAUCAGGGGUGGUAGUAUAUUUAUCCCUACACCUACACCUACCCCAGUGCCUCUUCUAGAAUCUGGGGCGGGAAAAAAGUGUAGGAUGGUGUGGACCCAAAGCCUCUCACAGAACUCCCAACUAGUCUGUCAAUCUACAGAGUCGAAGUCAGAGAUAGACUGAUAUUUGGCAGGGAAUCUUCUUCCAUAUACGGAAGGGUUUGAUAUAUUUGCUUGGUGGAAGAUCAAUGCAAUGAAUAUCUCGUUCUUGGAGAUAGCUCGCAGUAUUUUGGUCAUCCCUAUUAGCAUCGUAGCCUCAGAAUUGACAUUUAGUACCGGAUGACGCCUAUUGGAUCAAUUUCAGAGUUCUUUGUCCUCUACCAUUGUGGAGUCACUGAUCUGCACACAAAAUUGGAUCGAAUGGACUCAAAUUCAUGUUAAUGAGACCGGCGAGGAGGAGAGUGGUGAUCAACCUAAGACUGCCAUGCAUGAUACGACAUCUACCUUGGCUGCAGUAUGACUUCACCAUGUUGGACCCGACCCACCAUUGCCAUUUGCCAUAGCCUCAAUCCUAAUUUCAAGUCGAAAUUCAAAUGAUAUAUUCUCAAUGUCGCAUCUUGGUCUCCAUCAUCUCAUCUUGAUUUUAUGAUCUCACGACACACAAUAGGCAACACUAAAUUCAAUUUUCACCCUUGGCCCAGGCCACCCACCCCAAAUGUCAAAGUCAAAGUUCAACUUCAAAGUUCCCCUUUGUCACUUUUUUCAUUUAUGUUCAAUUGACAAUUGUAUUUAGAUUUUACAUAUUCAAUUCUUUGUAAUGUUGAUACAAUCACAAUGUCGCUUUUAUGUUUGUAAUUGUUUAUCUUAAUUUGUAUUAUUGUAAUGAGAAAUUACUUACAUCAACUUACUGUUGAUGUAAGUCUCAACACACCCAGUGUUGUUAAGUUUAAAAAAAAAAAAAAUUAUAGUGUGCAGAGAGUGCGGCUGAUGCGUAACCGUGCUCUAUUGUAAUAGUUUAGUUAUUAUAGUUUUAUUAUAAAUUCUAUUAUUGUAAAUUGUAAUAGUUUAGUAGUUAGGACUUGAGAGUAUUAGUAGUACUUCUUUAAUCUUUUGUUGUCUUAA